AUUGAUAAAAACCUAUCAUGGUCAAUUCAAAUUGAUAAAAUAUGCGAAACUAUUUCAACCAGAAUAUAUUUGUUAAAAAGGUUGAAACGUUAUUUACCAUUAAAGGGUCUUAAUCUUUUUUACAAUAGCUAUAUAUUACCCAUUAUUGACUACUGUUGUACAGUAUGGGGUGUUACCACACACAUUAAUCUGGAGAGGAUACAUAAGCUCCAAAAACGUGCUGCAAGAUUAGUUUUAUCUGUUUCUUUUGAUUUUCCAUCAACAGUAAUGUUUAAAAAAAUUGCAUGGAUGACUAUAUUUACGAGGAUACACUAUUUUCAAGCUGUGUUAAUGUUUAAGUGUAUGAAUGGUCUAGCACCUGAUUAUCUAUCUAUUAAAUUUACUGCUUGUGCUGAUCUUUAUAAUUAUUGUCUGAGGUCGACAACAUCAGGACUUCUCCAUGUACCAAG
rnacentral:lncRNA from 1 species